rnacentral:rRNA from 1 species
UGUUGGUGAGGUAAUGGCUCACCAAGGCGUCGACGGGUAGCCGGCCUGAGAGGGUGACCGGCCACACUGGGACUGAGACACGGCCCAGACUCCUACGGGAGGCAGCAGUGGGGAAUAUUGCACAAUGGGCGAAAGCCUGAUGCAGCAACGCCGCGUGAGGGACGACGGCCUUCGGGUUGUAAACCUCUUUUAGCAAGGAAGAAGCGAAAGUGACGGUACUUGCAGAAAAAGCGCCGGCUAACUACGUGCCAGCAGCCGCGGUAAUACGUAGGGCGCAAGCGUUAUCCGGAAUUAUUGGGCGUAAAGAGCUCGUAGGCGGUUUGUCGCGUCUGCUGUGAAAACCCGAGGCUCAACCUCGGGCCUGCAGUGGGUACGGGCAGACUAGAGUGCGGUAGGGGAGAUUGGAACUCCUGGUGUAGCGGUGGAAUGCGCAGAUAUCAGGAAGAACACCGAUGGCGAAGGCAGAUCUCUGGGCCGUAACUGACGCUGAGGAGCGAAAGGGUGGGGAGCAAACAGGCUUAGAUACCCUGGUAGUCCACCCCGUAAACGUUGGGAACUAGUUGUGGGGUCCAUUCCACGGAUUCCGUGACGCAGCUAACGCAUUAAGUUCCCCGCCUGGGGAGUACGGAAUCUCUAGAGGAUC